AGUGAACGCUGGCGGUAGGCCUAACACAUGCAAGUCGAACGGCAGCACAGUAAGAGCUUGCUCUUACGGGUGGCGAGUGGCGGACGGGUGAGGAAUACAUCGUAAUCUACUUUUUCGUGGGGGAUAACGUAGGGAAACUUACGCUAAUACCGCAUACGACCUACGGGUGAAAGCAGGGGAUCUUCGGACCUUGCGCGAUUGGAUGAGCCGAUGUCGGAUUAGCUAGUUGGCGGGGUAAAGGCCCACCAAGGCGACGAUCCGUAGCUGGUCCGAGAGGAUGAUCAGCCACACUGGAACUGAGACACGGUCCAGACUCCUACGGGAGGCAGCAGUGGGGAAUAUUGGACAAUGGGCGCAAGCCUGAUCCAGCCAUACCGCGUGGGUGAAGAAGGCCUUCGGGUUGUAAAGCCCUUUUGUUGGGAAAGAAAAGCAGCAGGUUAAUACCCCGCUGUUCUGACGGUACCCAAAGAAUAAGCACCGGCUAACUUCGUG
rnacentral:rRNA from 1 species